AGCAGUAGCCGCGGUAAUACGGAGGGGGCUAGCGUUGUUCGGAAUUACUGGGCGUAAAGCGCACGUAGGCGGCUUGGUAAGUUAGAGGUGAAAGCCCGGGGCUCAACCCCGGAAUUGCCUUUAAGACUGCCGAGCUAGCAGGUGAGAGAGGUGAGUGGAAUUCCGAGUGUAGAGGUGAAAUUCGUAGAUAUUCGGAAGAACACCAGUGGCGAAGGCGGCUCACUGGCUCAUACUGGACGCUGAGGUGCGAAAGCGUGGGGAGCAAACAGGAUUAGAUACCCCGGUAGUCCCUGUCUCUUAUAC
rnacentral:rRNA from 1 species